GACGAACGCUGGCGGCGUGCUUAACACAUGCAAGUCGAACGGAGUGGCGAACGGGUGAGUAACACGUGGGUGACCUGCCCUGCACUUCGGGAUAAGCCUGGGAAACUGGGUCUAAUACCGGAUAGUGUGGGAUGGGCCCGCGGCCUAUCAGCUUGUUGGUGGGGUAAUGGCCUACCAAGGCGGCGACGGGUAGCCGGCCUGAGAGGGUGGACGGCCAAAGUGGGACUGAGACACGGCCCAGACUCCUACGGGAGGCAGCAGUGUGGAAUAAUGCGAAAUGGGCGGAAGCCUGAUGCAGCAACGCCGCGUGCGGGAUGACGGCCUUCGGUUUGUAAACCGCUUUCAGCCAUGACGCGGUAGUGGCAGAAGAAGCACCGGCUAACUACGUGCCAGCAGCCGCGGUAAUAC
rnacentral:rRNA from 1 species